CUUUGCAAACGACAGUGGUCAGACCGUGGUCAGACCUGCUAACCACUGCUUCAACAAGUAUUGACCCUUUUUGUCGGAGGUCGUAACAGGCUUACCUAGACACGGUUCGCUACACUAUAAUCAUGUCAAAUUCAUAACUCAAGUCUUUCUGUUAGGCCUAUCUCUCUAUAGUCUACUAUCCUAUCUUAUCUCUUUUGUCGCUUCCCAGAACGAUGCAACUGAGGGUUGUGGCGCAACAGUCCAGUGUGCUGUUAUGUGCACACGGCGUAGGCUUUUCUCCCGGUGUCUGCUUGGCUCUACCGAAUGUAACCUAAUGAAAUCCACGGGAAGCCCUCAGAUUAAAGCGUUGAAGAUGACCCAUUUCAUGCAAUGAUUUUUAACAUUUGUUGAAUAAAUAGGCUUAUAUAGUUGCUUUAAUUCAUUUCCAUGUUACCAGUAUGUUGCUGUUUUUAGAAUAGACUGUUCACCGUCGUCUCAUUUUCACUUCAGCGACGCAACAUCCUCUGAAUUUUCCACAACUCUACGCGAUUACGCGCGUAGCCAAGAGAACGGUAGAGAUUUGCAUCACAGGUGCUCGUGGACAUUUGAAGGAAAUAUUACAGGCUUGAAAAACGCUUCUGUCCUGCAUAAUAGAAGACAACAUUUAGUGUAUAUCCCAUGUUCAGUCUGCUGGGGUUUUCUGAGACUGCUCCGGCUGUAUACUUUUGCAAAGCUCAUCAACAUCUUCAGCCACUUCAAACACAUCACGCCACAAGAGGAGGGAGCCUAGCUGCUUUUGGCAUUUUAAAAAGACGCUGAUCAAAGAAGAAGUCAAAACUGCAGUGAAGAAAACAACUUCAGUAAGACAGUGAGUUUCUUGAGUGAACCAGAAGACUCCACCGGACCUGUGCCCUGGAAACAACACCAUUUGACUGAGAACUAUCAGAGUGACUGCUGACCUCACAGUUGUAAUUGUUGUUUUAAAAAAGAAGAAGAAAUGUGUGGGCAUCUCUGGUGACCUGCUGGGUAGCAGUGGUCUUCUUGUGCUGUAGUAGGAGUGGCUGAACC
rnacentral:lncRNA from 8 species